GACGAACGCUGGCGGCGUGCUUAACACAUGCAAGUCGAACGGAAAGGCCCUGCUUUUGUGGGGUGCUCGAGUGGCGAACGGGUGAGUAACACGUGAGUAACCUGCCCUUGACUUUGGGAUAACUUCAGGAAACUGGGGCUAAUACCGGAUAUGAGCUCCUGCUGCAUGGUUGGUGUUUGAAAGUUUCGGCGGUUGGGGAUGGACUCGCGGCUUAUCGGCUUGUUGGUGGGGUAGUGGCUUACCAAGUCUUGGACGGGUAGCCGGCCUGAGAGGGUGACCGGCCACAUUGGGACUGAGAUACGGCCCAGACUCCUACGGGAGGCAGAAGUGGGGAAUAUUGCAAGAUGGGCGGAAGCAUGAUGCAGCAACGCCGCGUGCGGGAUGACGGCCUUCGGGUUGUAACCCGCUUUCGCCUGUGACGAAGCGUGAGUGACGGUAAUGGGUAAAGAAGCACCGGCUAACUACGUG
rnacentral:rRNA from 1 species